GGCUUUCUUCAAUCAAAGUAACUGUCCGCUUUUGUUUGUUUCAGUCGGAGCCUGCUUCCAUACAAAAGAUAGCUGCCGCUUGAACGGAUCGCAUAAUUUGAUACGUUUACCAAUAAGGACAUUAGGCCUGUUGAAAGACAUUCCUCAAGCAAUGCGACCCUAGUAGCGUGUGACCUAAUUCGGGAGAGAAAGAUCAGGUCGACAACAACCGAUAGCCAAAAGUCGAGCGCAAAAAAAAGAUGUACUUUGUUACUCAUGGCUAUGUAGUAUCCUCUAUACAUUUUGAUGUGGACCGGCAAGCAGGUGUGAGCGGAUUGGCAUUGAUUGGUGGACAGAACAUUUUUGUUAUGGGACGUGCAUCGGACUGACCCGAAUGUGCACUAUUGCUGCUGCAAACAGCUACAGUGAUGCAGUGGACAUCAACGGUCAACAUUCAAUUUUGCAUGUGUCUGAAAAAAUAACUAUUCGAGUGUUCUGCUUGUUGCCGCGUGUUGCCGCUCGCUGCUGCUAUCAUGUGUGUGUGUGCCAGCUAGUUAGGUUGGUGGGUACACUUAUGCCUGAUUGUGUUGGGUCUGUUGCCAACGGUCUCGGCUACUUGAAGGUGUAAUGUUGUACCUGCCACCUUUGUUGGUUCCAGGGUUCAUAUACUUUCUAUUUGAAGUAUACAUACCUGUUAACCAUGGACUGCUUCUGGCUAGAUUAACUCUUGUGUAAUCAAUGGUGCUAGUGAAGCUAAUAUCAGAUCCACUCUGAUUUAGCCACCCACACUAGUAGCACGUAUUACCUUCACUGGGGGCAGGGGUAACUGCAGUUGGAUCCCAGGACGGAUACCCUGAUGCCGUCAAUCCUUUUUCUGCACCUUGUCCUCACCCACUUACUGAGGUGUGGUGAGCCCAUAAGUGGGAUCAUUUUCAAGUCCACCCAGAGUUUUGGGGAUUUCAGGGGGUGUCGGCCGUUGGGCGGUUCAAUAGCCAAUUGAGUCAUCUUUCCAAGAUUCCUUUUGAGUCUCUCUCCCCUCUCCCGGGGAGACCCACGUGACCAGUUUUGGCAGUGUGCAACAAGUACAAGUAAGCGUGUGUGUGUGUGUGU